UACAGAGGUCUCAAGCGUUGUUCGGAUUCAUUGGGCGUAAAGGGUGCGUAGGUGGCGAUGUAAGUCUGGUGUGAAAUCUCGGGGCUCAACCUCGAAAUUGCAUUGGAUACUGCGUUGCUUGAGGAUUGUAGAGGAGAGUGGAAUUCACGGUGUAGCAGUGAAAUGCGUAGAUAUCGUGAGGAAGACCAGUUGCGAAGGCGACUCUCUGGGCAAUUCCUGACACUGAGGCACGAAGGCUAGGGGAGCAAACGGG
rnacentral:rRNA from 1 species